GCUGGGCACAUUGACGCAGGCCUGUGAUCCCAGCUACCCGGGAGGCUGAGGCCGGAGGAUCACAAGUUCAAAGUCAGCCUCAGCAACUUGGUGAGGCCCUAAGCAACUUAGUGAGACUCGGUCUCAA
rnacentral:sRNA from 1 species